AUUGAACGCUGGCGGUAUGCUUAACACAUGCAAGUCGAACGGUAGCAGGCCUUCGGGCGCUGACGAGUGGCGGACGGGUGAGUAACGCGUAGGAAUCUGCCUCAUAGUGGGGGACAACGUGGGGAAACUCACGCUAAUACCGCAUACGCCCUACGGGGAAAGCGGGGGAUCUUCGGACCUCGCGCUAUGAGAUGAGCCUGCGUUAGAUUAGCUAGUUGGUAGGGUAAAGGCCUACCAAGGCGACGAUCUAUAGCUGGUCUGAGAGGACGAUCAGCCACACUGGGACUGAGACACGGCCCAGACUCCUACGGGAGGCAGCAGUGGGGAAUAUUGGACAAUGGGCGCAAGCCUGAUCCAGCAAUACCGCGUGUGUGAAGAAGGCCUUAGGGUUGUAAAGCACUUUCAAUUGGGAGGAAAACCUGUCGGUCAAUACCCGGCAGCUUGACAUUACCUUUAGAAGAAGCACCGGCUAACUCCGUGCCAGCAGCCGCGGUAAU
rnacentral:rRNA from 1 species